AGCAGCUUUGUAUGGCGUUGGAGGCUCCGCGCCCACGGCCUGACAAAACGACUGGGUCCCGGGGCGAGCGAGGGUCGGCGCCGCGGAGGCGGGGAAGGGAGGGAGGGAUUGGACCCGGAACCUGGGACUUCGCCUCCUUACACCUGUCAGUGGCCACAGGCCACCGGGUUUCUAAAGCUGGCAGGAGAUGAAAGGUUGCGGUGGCGUGUCGGAAGGAGCGCCUGUUUCCUCGGCCUCUCCUCCGCCACAGUUCCUCAGGCCAUUCCGGCUCUCUCUGCCACGGGACCAAGACACCCCUGCUCCUGGAGCUGAGGACUGAAUCCAGGGCUUGUGCUUGGGUUUCUCUGUGGCUUUGGAGGCUGUCCUGGAACUAGCUCUUGCAGACCAGGCUGGCCUCGAACUCACAGAGAUCCGCCUGCCUCUGCCUCCCGAGUGCUGGGAUUAAAGGCAAGCGUGCACCACCACCGCCCGGCUCCAGGUAACAUAUUGGCAACCAAAGAUGCACACGUUCCAGGAAUAAGGCGGCUGGAGCACUACAAGAAUGGCAAGGCUGAUCUAGGGAUGCGCUGUGGACCCAGGCCAAGGGCUGCAGUCCCUACAAGUUCUGCGAACCACGUCAGGAUGUAGAAGCAAGCUUUCCUGGUAUAGCCCCUCCCUCAAAGGCUGUCGAGCGAGGCCCCACCCCCACUCCCCACCCCGCUGUGCUGGGCAAUGAAGAAAACAGGAGUGAGCAUGGAGCAGUGAUGUGGCUGGUUGGGGGGGGGGACUCCCCAUCCCAGAGGGGCUGACCUCAGCCUGGGAGGAAUGUGCACGAGGGAGGGAGGGACGGAGGGAAG